AAUUAAUGAACUUGAUCUAAGUAUAUAUUUUGAAAAUAUAUCAAAGAAAUUUAAAUUUUCUAUUAAUUU
rnacentral:tRNA from 1 species